CCUGCUGUAUGUCAAGGAAGACUUGAUCCUACCACAAGAUAUCACCUUUUACGAUUUAAUAGUCACUAAGGCCCGUGGUAAGUCUGGUCCACUCUUCCAUUUUGAUGUUCAUGAGGACGUCCGGCUGGGCCCACUUGAUAGACGAGUGGAAAAAGAUGAAUCACAUCCGGGAAAGGUGGUUGAACGUCGAUGGUAUGAAAGGAACAAGCAUAUCUUUCCAGCAAGUCGCUG
rnacentral:ribozyme from 1 species